rnacentral:rRNA from 1 species
UACGGAGGUUCCUAGCGUUGUUCGGAAUUACUGGGCGUAAAGGGAGCGCAGGCGGGUCGAUAAGUCUAAAGUGGAAUCCCGGGGCUCAACCUCGGACGUGCUUUGGAUACUAUCGGUCUUGAGUUCGUGAGAGGAAGGCGGAAUUCAGGGUGUAGCGGUGAAAUGCUUAGAUAUCCUGAGGAACACCAGUGGCGAAAGCGGCCUUCUGGCACGAAACUGACGCUGAGGCUCGAAAGCGUGGGUAGCGAACGGG